rnacentral:misc_RNA from 1 species
GAUGAAGAACGUAGCGAAAUGCGAUAAGUAAUGUGAAUUGCAGAAUUCAGUGAAUCAUCGAAUCUUUGAACGCACAUUGCGCCCGCCAGUAUUCUGGCGGGCAUGCCUGUUCGAGCGUCAUUUCAACCAUCAAGCCCCAGGCUUGUGUUGGGGACCUGCGGCUGCCGCAGGCCCUGAAAACCAGUGGCGGGCUCGCUGUCACACCGGGCGUAGUAGAUUUUAUCUCGCUCAGGGCGUGCUGCGGGUUCCGGCCGUUAAAAAGCCUUUUUUACCCAAGGUUGACCUCGGAUCAGGUAGGAAGACCCGCUGAACUUAAGCAUAUCAAUAAGCGGAGGG